UACGUAGGGUGCGAGCGUUAAUCGGAAUUACUGGGCGUAAAGCGUGCGCAGGCGGUUUUGUAAGCCAGAUGUGAAAUCCCCGGGCUCAACCUGGGAAUGGCAUUUGGGACUGCAAGGCUGGAGUGCGGCAGAGGAGACUGGAAUUCCUGGUGUAGCAGUGAAAUGCGCAGAUAUCAGGAGGAACACCGAUGGCGAAGGCAGGC
rnacentral:rRNA from 1 species